GACGAACGCUGGCGGUGUGCUUAACACAUGCAAGUCGAACGGUAAGGCCCUUUCGGGGGUACACGAGUGGCGAACGGGUGAGUAACACGUGAGUAACCUGCCCUCAUCUCUGGGAUAACAGUCGGAAACGGUUGCUAAUACUGGAUAUGAGCCUGCAAGGCAUCUUGUGGGUUGGAAAGAUUUUUUGGUUGGGGAUGGACUCGCGGCCUAUCAGCUUGUUGGUGAGGUAGUGGCUCACCAAGGCUUCGACGGGUAGCCGGCCUGAGAGGGCGACCGGCCACAUUGGGACUGAGAUACGGCCCAAACUCCUACGGGAGGCAGCAGUGGGGAAUAUUGCACAAUGGACGGAAGUCUGAUGCAGCAACGCCGCGUGCGGGAUGACGGCCUUCGGGUUGUAAACCGCUUUCAAUUGUGACGAAGCUUUUUGUGACGGUAGCAGUAGAAGAAGCACCGGCUAACUACGUA
rnacentral:rRNA from 1 species